rnacentral:lncRNA from 1 species
CCCUUCCUCUGGACCAGGAGCAGUGGGACGACGGCUCAGAAGCCCCUACCUCUGGGCCGGGAACAGUGGGACUCAGUACCUUGGUCUGGUGGUCUGGUGUCCUCUGCGCCUUGGUAAUGUGGAAUCAGGUGGCUGCGUGUCUGCAGUGGGGUGAUUCGGUGUCUUCCACGUGACUCAGGACCUUGGUAGGGCGUGCACAGACCUGCCUGUCUGCAGCGGGCUGAUUCGGCGUCUAGCAAGAUGGGUAUUGGUAAUAGCCGGCUGCUUUUUGUACAUAUGCUUAAAAAAAAUGCUUCGGUCUCGUGGAGCAAAGGUAGGGCAUCAAUAAUUAUGUAAUUUUUAGAAUUCGUAGAGAAAGUUUGUCCUUGGUUCUCUGAAGAAGGCACAGUAGAUUUAGGAGUAUGGAACAAGGUAGGGAAGCGACUUCAGGACUGUUAUGAUGGUCAUGGACCCACUAAAAUCCCUAUAGAUGCUUUUAGUUUAUGGGUUUUAAUUAGAGAUAGUUUGGAUUCUCAGUAUGAGGGAGAGAGGGUUGAAGGACCCUCAAGUCCUUCCUCGGAGGAGCGUGACAAGGCUGGUGUUCCCAAGGUUGUCCCUCCACCUCCUGUAGAAGACUCAGGGUGAGGGAGGAAUAGUUCCUAGUAUAAUUGCUGGUUUUGAUCCCCCGCCAGUUGCAGGUCCAAGAUUAAUGAAAAAAACUGACCCUCUUAUAGCCAUGAUUAAACAUCCCCUAGGACCCAGGCCUUUGUCUGUCAAAUCUCGGUCUCUGUUGCCAUUACAAGCUACCCUGCAACAUGUGGUUGACAGAGGGGAAGAUACCCAGGGCUUUCGUUUAGCUUGUCCAGUAUUUGAGGAAGCUGAUGCUCAAGGGAAUAUGGUCAGAAUCCAUCGGCCGAUAUCUUUUAAGCAACUUAAAGUGUUAAAAAUGGCAUGUGCGCAAUAUGGCCCUACUGUACCUUUUACUCAGGCUACGUUAGAAUCGUUGAGCACAGAGGCGCUGCCUCCUGGAGAUUGGAAACAGCUUGCUAAAGCAUGCCUGUCUGGGGGAGAUUACCUCCUUUGGAAAACAGAAUUUUCCAAGCAGUGUUAAAGAACAGCUGAAUUAAAUUGGGCUAAUAGAAAUGGUACUGAUUAUGACAUGCUGGCAGGAGAAGGGCAAUAUGCAGACCUCGCCAAUCAAUUACUUUGCUCAGAUACAAUGGUGCAUACAUGCCUGCACCUGUCCUUGUUAUGUGGGUCACAUUAGCGCUCAUUCUGGGCUUCCUGGACCCCUGGCAAAGGGAAAUUGUGGAUGCUUAUGGAUUGACUGCAGCAGAAAGGCUGUGGCAUCCUAAAACUAAAUCAUCAUAUGCUCAAGUGAGGUGGAAAGAUCCCCUCACGGGUGUAUGGAGUGGCCCCGACCUGGUAUUAAUAUGGGGACGAGGGCAUGUUUGUGUUUUCCCGCAGGACGCUGAAGGUGCCAGGUGGCUGCCUGAAAGAUGAGUCCGUUUUGCGGGAAAUUCUCCUGCCCCUUAGGAUGAUCCUGACAACUGUCCUGCUGAUAAAUCUAAUGAUGACGCUGAAUGAGAAGGUUUAUUGGACUUAUGUACCUGAUCCACCUGUUGUACAUCCAAUGAGCUCAAAAAAUGGAGAAGUAAUGGUAUGGGUGAACAAUACCAGGCUGUUGGAUGAGACGGCGGCACCUGACAAGAACGAGGUCCUAUUGUUCAACUAUACGGGAUCAGAAACCGGAACCCCCAUAUGUUUCUUCAAAAUCAACAGAACUGAUUGUAUAAGACUGAGCGCUCGCACCCUGACAGGAAGGCAGGUAGAUCAAUGCAAAGGCGGGAUCACUGGAGUCCAUCUACAUCUACCUGUGGGUAUAGAGACCACUGGUGUAGUGCCUCAGACUUUUAAUGCUCCAAUAAGACUAUUCCAUGGAAGAGAUGUGUGGCGGAUGCCUCUGUGAGAUAUAAUAUUACUGGACUUGAUACUUAUGUUUUGGACUGGUCUGAAAAUUCUUGUCAUCCCAAAAGAAAUGUCACUGCAUAUGUCAUGUGCUCUUAGGUCAACUGGAACAAAGUUAGAUUGAAGAAAUGUCCCAGCAACUUGCUAUGAAGAUACACACAGAGCAAAAUGAUGGGUUGGGCGGCCCCAAGCUCCUGUCCCUCUCAGAAAUGUCAGAAUACAACCAGAUGAGGCCUAAUUGGAGGCACUAUGCGAAACAGC